rnacentral:rRNA from 1 species
CACGUAGGGGGCAAGCGUUGUCCGGAUUCAUUGGGCGUAAAGAGCUCGUAGGCGGUUCGAUAAGUCGGGUGUGAAACCUCCAGGCUCAACCCGGAGACGCCACCCGAUACUGUCGUGACUAGAGUCCAGUAGGGGAGCGUGGAAUUCCUGGUGUAGCGGUGAAAUGCGCAGAUAUCAGGAGGAACACCAGUGGCGAAGGCGGCGCUCUGGGCUGGAACUGACGCUGAGGAGCGAAAGCGUGGGGAGCGAACAGG